rnacentral:tRNA from 1 species
GGUUUCGUGGUCUAGUCGGUUAUGGCAUCUGCUUAACACGCAGAACGUCCCCAG